GUGAACCUGAUUGCUUCCCUUGGCACCUGGGAUGUGGCAGGGGAAGUAACAGGGGUGACUCUCACUGGAGAGGGGCAGUCGGACCUCACCCUUGCCAGCCCAAUUCUGGAUAAACUCAACCGACAGCUGCAACUGGUGACUUACAGCAGCCGGAGCUACCAAGCCAACACAGCAGACACAGGUGGGAGGCCCGCAGAGGGGCAGGGACAGACAAAAAGAACAGAAAUAACCAGGAGAGCAAAUGACAGCCUGUGGGAGGAUCUCGGGCAAUGGCCAGAGCAGCCUAGACACACAAUGAAUGUUGCAAGUGGGCCAGCAGGGCCAGGAGUCAGAGGAGCCUUUGUUUAUCUGGGGCCAAAACAGGCCAGGGAGAAACCAGAGCUGGAGAGCCCGUUCCCACUUCUGUCCAUCAUCACAGCUCCAGGAAGUGACCUGUUCUGGCUGCUUCUAGCCCAACCAAGCCAAGCUCCCUUUCUCUUCCUCUUUUUCUCCAAAACU
rnacentral:lncRNA from 1 species